AGUGAACGCUGGCGGUAGGCCUAACACAUGCAAGUCGAACGGCAGCACAGUAAGAGCUUGCUCUUACGGGUGGCGAGUGGCGGACGGGUGAGGAAUACAUCGGAAUCUACUUUUUCGUGGGGGAUAACGUAGGGAAACUUACGCUAAUACCGCAUACGACCUACGGGUGAAAGCAGGGGAUCUUCGGACCUUGCGCGAUUGAAUGAGCCGAUGUCGGAUUAGCUAGUUGGCGGGGUAAAGGCCCACCAAGGCGACGAUCCGUAGCUGGUCUGAGAGGAUGAUUCGCCACCCUGGAACCGAGACACGGUCCAGACUCCCUAGGGAGGCAGCAGUGGGGAAUAUUUGACAAUGGGGGGAAGCCCGAUCCAGCCAGACCGGGUGGGGUAAGAAGGCCCUCCGGUUGGAAAGCCCUUUUUUUGGGAAAGAAAAGGAGCAGGUUAAAAACCCGGCGGUCUGACGGUACCCAAAGAAUAAGCCACGGCUAACCUCGUG
rnacentral:rRNA from 1 species